UGAAUUAGUUGGUAGGAAAGAGGAUCUUGACUGGCAAAGGUGAACGGUGGAGGUACUGUAGCUAAGUGUUAUUCACCAAUUUGGCUGGUGAAGGUUUUAUCUCUACAAGGUUCCAUUCUCGCCAGUUGGUACCAGCUUGCUAGGAUAGUUCAUCGUGAGUAAUGAGAGCUUAUCAUGAACACCGAGAAGCUUAUGCUUCGUUUGAUUGGGCUGAUAAAAUGCCUGGGUCAUAUGUCUGUCAUCCGGUUUCCACCUAGAUGAUACAUCCAAAGACAAAGAAUUAGAGAUUCCAGAUAAAUUUUAUGUAAUUAUUAUAUGAUGCAUAUUUUAUCUUAUUGUAAAGACCAUAAUGGUCAAAUGUAAAAGUUAUGUAAAAGACUUACGAGGUCCAUGAUGUAAUGUGACAAAAAAUCACCAUGCAAUGUAACUAACAAAAAGAAAACAAAAAAAACUACUAACAUACUAACCCACUAACAUGCAUUGAUUUACUUUCCGCAUGCAUGCAUGUUCGUAUUUAAUUUUUAGUUAGUUAAUUUAAUUA